AUGGGCACUCCAACACUCAGACAUGAGAGGGAGACUGUGUGUGGGGGAGGGAGACUGUGUGUGGGGGACUGUGUGUGGGAGAGGGAGACUGUGUGUGGGGGAGGGAGACUGUGUGUGGGGGAGGGAGACUGUGUGUGGGAGAGGGAGACUGUGUGUGGGAGAGGGAGACUGUGUGUGGGGGAGGGAGACUGUGUGUGGGAGAGGGAGACUGUGUGUGGGAGAGGGAGACUGUGUGUGGGGGAGGGAGACUGUGUGUGGGGGACUGUGUGUGGGAGAGGGAGACUGUGUGUGGGGGAGGGAGACUGUGUGUGGGGGAGGGAGACUGUGUGUGGGAGAGGGAGACUGUGUGUGGGGGAGGGAGACUGUGUGUGGGGGAGGGAGACUGUGUGUGGGGGAGGGAGACUGUGUGUGGGGGAGGGAGACUGUGUGUGGGGGACUGUGUGUGGGAGAGGGAGACUGUGUGUGGGGGACUGUGUGUGGGAGAGGGAGACUGUGUGUGGGGGACUGUGUGGGAGAGGGAGACUGUGUGUGGGGGACUGUGUGUGGGAGAGGGAGACUGUGUGUGGGGGACUGUGUGUGGGAGAGGGAGACUGUGUGUGGGAGAGGGAGACUGUGUGUGGGAGAGGGAGACUGUGUGUGGGAGAGGGAGACUGUGUGUGGGAGAGGGAGACUGUGUGUGGGAGAGGGAGACUGUGUGUGGGAGAGGGAGACUGUGUGUGGGGAGGGAGACUGUGUGUGGGGGAGGGAGACUGUGUGUGGGGGAGGGAGACUGUGUGUGGGGGAGGGAGACUGUGUGUGGGGGAGGGAGACUGUGUGUGGGGGAGGGAGACUGUGUGUGUGGGAGAGGGAGACUGUGUGUGGGGGAGGGAGACUGUGUGUGGGGGAGGGAGACUGUGUGUGGGGGAGGGAGACUGUGUGUGGGGGAGGGAGACUGUGUGUGGGGGAGGGAGACUGUGUGUGGGGGAGGGAGACUGUGUGUGUGGGGGAGGGAGACUGUGUGUGUGGGAGAGGGAGACUGUGUGGUGGGGGAGGGAGACUGUGUGUGGGGGAGGGAGACUGUGUGUGGGAGAGGGAGACUGUGUGGGAGAGGGAGACUGUGUGGGGGAGGGAGACUGUGUGUGGGGGAGGGAGACUGUGUGGGAGACUGUGGGGGAGGGAGACUGU
rnacentral:lncRNA from 1 species